ensembl:lncRNA
UAUUUUUGUAUCAUGUGACUCAACUUGCACUUCUUUUCCUCAUGGUUAAAGUCGCCACAAAUUAUAUGUAUCUACAUUACACACACACACACACACACACACACACACACACAGUCUCAAUAUAGCCCAGGCUGGUCUUGAACUCGGGAUCUCACUGCCCAAGGAACUCUGUCUUACCCUCUCAAGUACAGGGAUUACAGGUGUCCACCUGGUGUGCAUACAUGUCAUGAUCCUAAACAAGCCAGCGUUCACCCCAGAAGAGAUGCCGUUCUCCAUCUUCCAAGACUAUUUGUUGUGCAGACAUUCUUAGGAUGAGAGCCCAUUACAAAACCACUGAAGACUUUCAGCCCGUAAAACACCACAGCUGCACGUGUGUGAGACCCAUGGAGUCACCUGCCCACAUCACAAUCUCACCGUGAGCUUCUCCUGCCAUGGCUAGCUGUCCCCAAUCUCCAGUCUCUACACCUUGGGUGGAGGACCCCACCUCCCCAUUGAUGGAUACAUGCUUCCCAAGUGCAGCCGCUCCUGAAGCACUGGCGUUCUCUCUGCCGCUCUCCAAGAUGUCCAUUGCUUAGGCUGUGUCCCUAGACCCUGGCACCCUUUACUCUCAACACUGCUUCCCUGAGUUGCGUGUCUCCCACGGAAGACUAUGCGGUUUUGUCCAACACUGAGCUAGCUGCAGUGCUACCUUCGCCAGCACAACAUCCUGAAUGGGCCUAUCGUGGGCUCUACUCACAAGCUCUAUGAAAAGAAAAUCUGCCAGAAUAAGACCCAGAGGCAGAGGCUCUCAUUCCCCUCCCCGACCCAACUCGUCAUCCUCUACAUUCUUCUACCGGUUCUCAGACUUGGAUUCGGCCUCCGUGGACUCAGACCUGUAGGAUCUGCUCCCAAAAGAGGACGCCUUACUUUACCAAAGCAAGGACUAUAAUGACGACUGCGAUGAGGAGAGUUAUUUGACUCCCAGGACAUAUGGGGAGCCCAAGUCUGUGGGCAUGUCCAAGAGCUUCCACCAUCCGGGGACCUCACUUGCAGAUGGUCACUCUUUCCAACACCAGGUGCGUGAUAUUUUCUCUCCUUCAGGAGGACAAGGAUAGAGAACCCCACAUCUACGGCCGACACAGCGCCUACCAGAGCAUCUCACACUACCACCCCAUUUCCAGCGUCUCCAGGAGCUCCCUGGGCUUAUCCUUUAUCCUACAAUCUCCACCUCUUCUGUGACAUCCUCUUCGUCUUCUCCCUCUUCAUGGCUUACCCGCCGCGCCAUCAGGCCAGAAAAACAGGCCCCUGAUUCCCUGCACUGGACUGGUAUCACCAGGCCCCACUCUGGGACCAGCUAUUGCCCUUCCUGGUCUAUGCUGCCUGUCUGCUGUUUGUUUACUACGCCAUACAAGUUGAAGAACGCAACCCUUUCUGGAUGGAUCCCCGAGAGUAUGGUUUCAGAGCAGCUCUUCACAGUUUUGGCAGAUUGCCUUAGCGGUAUUUGCUGGGGGAGGAGUAGAUGUGGGCUUUUUGUGUUCUAGUUAGGGGAUGGAGGGCCUAGCCUAGGGCAGUGUUUAUAGCCCACCUCCUUCUGCUAAGGAGGAAGCAAAUGCUGGCCUUCCCAGUGGGCCCACGUGUACCUUCUUCUGGAGUCUCAUAGCCCUGUUGCCUCUGACCCUUAAGGCUCCAGGGGGAAAGAACCUCAUUUCUUUAGAGGAAAGCUUGGUGGUAGUUGUCAUACAUGCCUGUUUAUUGUCACCUUUUCAUGGUGUAUUAACCAAAGGCCUUUGUUUUCG